ACGCUGGCGGCAGGCCUAACACAUGCAAGUCGAGCGGUAGAGAGAAGCUUGCUUCUCUUGAGGGCGGCGGACGGGUGAGUAAUGCCUAGGAAUCUGCCUGGUAGUGGGGGAUAACGUCCGGAAACGGACGCUAAUACCGCAUACGUCCUACGGGAGAAAGCAGGGGACCUUCGGGCCUUGCGCUAUCAGAUGAGCCUAGGUCGGAUUAGCUAGUUGGUGGGGUAAUGGCUCACCAAGGCGACGAUCCGUAACUGGUCUGAGAGGAUGAUCAGUCACACUGGAACUGAGACACGGUCCAGACUCCUACGGGAGGCAGCAGUGGGGAAUAUUGGACAAUGGGCGAAAGCCUGAUCCAGCCAUGCCGCGUGUGUGAAGAAGGUCUUCGGAUUGUAAAGCACUUUAAGUUGGGAGGAAGGGCAGUAAAUUAAUACUUUGCUGUUUUGACGUUACCGACAGAAUAAGCACCGGCUAACUCUGUGCCAGCAGCCGCGGUAAUACAGAGGGUGCAAGCGUUAAUCGGAAUUACUGGGCGUAAAGCGCGCGUAGGUGGUUCGUUAAGUUGGAUGUGAAAUCCCCGGGCUCAACCUGGGAACUGCAUUCAAAACUGACGAGCUAGAGUAUGGUAGAGGGUGGUGGAAUUUCCUGUGUAGCGGUGAAAUGCGUAGAUAUAGGAAGGAACACCAGUGGCGAAGGCGACCACCUGGACUGAUACUGACACUGAGGUGCGAAAGCGUGGGGAGCAAAC
rnacentral:rRNA from 1 species